rnacentral:rRNA from 1 species
UACGGGGGGGGCAAGCGUUGUUCGGAAUUACUGGGCGUAAAGGGCUGGUAGGCGGCCAACUAAGUCGGACGUGAAAUCCCCAGGCUCAACCUGGGAACUGCGUCCGAUACUGGAUGGCUUGAAUCCGGGAGAGGGAUGCAGAAUUCCAGGUGUAGCGGUGAAAUGCGUAGAUAUCUGGAGGAAUACCGGUGGCGAAGGCGGCAUCCUGGACCGGCAUUGACGCUGAGGAGCGAAAGCCAGGGGAGCAAACGGG